UGAGGAGAAAGUACAAGGUCAGGAAGAAACAGAAACACUCAGCAGAAUGUCAAAGCGGUGCCCAGAAUGUCAUUGCCAUGCCUAUCAAGUGUGACCUGAUCAAAAAGGAGGGGAUUCUGUCCAUGUUCACAGCAAUCAAAAAGCACUUAUGCACCAACACUGGCUUAGCCACAGUCACCGAUAAGUGGAAAAACCAGGACUGGAAGAAGCUUCUGACUUUAGAUUUAACAAAUCUGAAGGGAUCUAAUAUAUUCUGACACCCCUGCAAACAUCAAACUGAUUUGAAUCUAAAUGGAAGGAACUAUAACCCAUUAAAGACAGACUGGUGUCUGGUGUUGGUGUUUCCAUCUCUGUUAUUUGUCACAUAUAAAGAGAUGAAAGAUGCAGAAAGAAAAAUAAAUUAUGCAUCAUUUACAGAUCUAUACUGAAGGCUUGAAGUGAAGCACGUUGCUCUAGAUCAGUGUUUUUGGUGUGGUGCAGAUUUCCAUAAGUUGUAGUUAUGACACUUUUGCAUCCAGCUGGUGUUGCAUAGGAGGAGUGGACACAAAGGGAGUAAUGAUUUAUAAGUGGCAAUUUCUCACUGUUCAACAAAUAUUAGCACACACACACAUUGUUUCUGUGCAGGUUGUCAAGCAGUGUGUUUGCUGGCUAAAGAUCCUGCUGCUGUAUUGCCAUGGAGAGAAAAGAAUGUGAGAUAGUUUCAUUCAGAGAUGGAGAAAUAUGUAGGAAAGAGGAUGGGAGGCAUAAGAGAUGUUAUAUUUAAAAGUAACCACUCUCAGUGGCACUUGAUAAACUGGAGAAUUUAAAGCUCAUUUAAUGUUUUACUUCAUUUUGUAGUUUUCUGUAAAAUGUGUUUUUACUGAAUCUGUA